UGACGCACAGGUACACACAGGUAAAUACACUCAAACUGACAUACAGGUACAGACACAGACGGGUGUAUUUUGUGUGUGUUCCAGGUGUGUUUCAGCAGUGAGGAGUUGACAACAAGAUGACUCCUCCUCCUGUCCCCAAACCUCGAGCUCGCUACAUUAGGGACAGUCUGAGCUCCGCCUCCACACUGGACAGAGAUGAAAAUCUGGAACCAGUUUUCUCAAACGGAGUUUACCUGGGCACAGGUAACACACACACUCAC